rnacentral:rRNA from 1 species
UUGAACGCUGGCGGCAUGCUUUACACAUGCAAGUCGAACGGUAACAGGCCUUCGGGUGCUGACGAGUGGCGAACGGGUGAGUAAUGCAUCGGAACGUACCCAGAGGUGGGGGAUAACGCAGCGAAAGCUGUGCUAAUACCGCAUGUGAUCUGAGGAUGAAAGCGGGGGACCGAGCAGCAAUGUUUGGCCUCGCGCCUUUGGAGCGGCCGAUGUCGGAUUAGCUAGUUGGUGGGGUAAAGGCCUACCAAGGCGACGAUCCGUAGCUGGUCUGAGAGGACGACCAGCCACACUGGGACUGAGACACGGCCCAGACUCCUACGGGAGGCAGCAGUGGGGAAUUUUGGACAAUGGGCGCGAGCCUGAUCCAGCAAUGCCGCGUGCGGGAAGAAGGCCUUCGGGUUGUAAACCGCUUUUGGCAGGAACGAAACGGUGUCCGCUAAUACCGGGCGCUAAUGACGGUACCUGCAGAAUAAGCACCGGCUAACUACGU